GAUCGGAAUCGAAUUUUGGCUUGUGAAAUUGAUAGUGCGAGAGACGAAAUUAUUCCCUCCAUUUUAAUUCCAUUUUUAUUUCGUUUACAGAACGUGGCGGGCGCGGAACAGAUCGGCUCCGGAACGAGUGCAUGUAGCGUCACGUCUCAUUCAUAUGAAUACGAUGGACACUUUUAUAGGACGAGAAGUGGCUUUGAAAUGAGUGACAUCGUGAUUUUAAUUGAGUACGCGGCGGAUGCAAAAUUGAUUUACUGCAGAAUGAGUAGCUCGUGAUUGAAUUUGACAACUCAGAAGAAGGAAGAAGAAAGAAGGUUUGACAAGAGGUUUCGAAAGAGAAGGAGAGAUAUCGAAUGACGGUGGUACAACUUAGCGAUUCAUCAUAGCUACGUUGCUGACAACUCUACUGUUGCGCAUCGGACAGUGAGUAAAAAUUUUAUUAACGAAUUUAUAAAAAAUGUAUUAAAUUAUAUCAUUGAAUGAUGCAUUAAAUUUAAUUAACUUACAAGUAAAAACUUCAUAGAUUUGUUACCUUAAAAUAGAUAAGUUUUAAAAAAUUAUGAAAGAUACUUAAUUUUGGACUCAG